rnacentral:lncRNA from 1 species
UGAGACCAAGAAGCCACCAAUUCCGGACACAAUAUGAAGGGGGAAUCUGGAAUAUUUCAAGAUAAGGUCCAAUUCUUCCAUUGUCUCGUAAUCCAAUGCAGAGAUGUGAAAUGUAAGAUCAUCUGAAGGAGAGCUUUGGUUCAAGUCAAAUGCAUGCCUCAACCUAGCAGAGCCAAAGAGAUACUUGUAUGAUGAUGGUAGAGAGCAGUCUACAGCCUGAGACCCAUCCCUAGGU